rnacentral:rRNA from 1 species
ACGCUCGACACCUACGGGAGGCAGCAGUGGGGAAUAUUGCACAAUGGGGGAAACCCUGAUGCAGCGACGCCGCGUGGAGGAAGAAGGUCUUCGGAUUGUAAACUCCUGUUGUUGGGGAAAAAGAGGAUGGUACCCAACAAGGAAGUGACGGCUAACUACGUGCCAGUAGCCGCGGUAAUCUGAGCGGGCUGGCAAGGC